rnacentral:lncRNA from 1 species
UUAUUUAUAAUUAACCAUUCAUUUUUUCUUCUUCUUUAUACUCUACUAAAGUAAGAAAAACAUGAGAGUUUCUUUUCCUAAAUUAUUGUCUGCAUGAGUGGGUUUAUAGUCUUGACUUUAAGCUUCUUAAUUAUUUUUAUAACAAAUGUAAGAUACUUUGGCUUUUAUUCCAUUCACUUUCUCAUCACUAGUCACUAACUUGAUACUUGAUCUCACUUUCCAUGUCAAAAAAUAAUUUGAU